rnacentral:rRNA from 1 species
GAUGAACGCUGGCGGCGUGCCUAAUACAUGCCAGUCGAGCGAACAGACGAGGAGCUUGCUCCUCUGACGUUAGUGGCGGACGGGUGAGUAACACGUGGAUAACCUACCUAUAAGACUGGGAUAACUUCGGGAAACCGGAGCUAAUACCGGAUAAUAUAUUGAACCGCAUGGUUCAAUAGUGAAAGACGGUUUUGCUGUCACUUAUAGAUGGAUCCGCGCCGCAUUAGCUAGUUGGUAAGGUAACGGCUUACCAAGGCAACGAUGCGUAGCCGACCUGAGAGGGUGAUCGGCCACACUGGAACUGAGACGCGGUCCAGACUCCUACGGGAGGCAGCAGUAGGGAAUCUUCCGCAAUGGGCGAAAGCCUGACGGAGCAACGCCGCGUGAGUGAUGAAGGUCUUCGGAUCGUAAAACUCUGUUAUUAGGGAAGAACAAAUGUGUAAGUAACUAUGCACGUCUUGACGGUACCUAAUCAGAAAGCCACGGCUAACUACGUG